rnacentral:lncRNA from 1 species
CGAACCAAAGCAUCCGUUGCUCCUUGACUAGACAAAGGAGAUUUAGUUCAUCCCGGAUGCUAAAAACCCACGCGAAAUUGAAUCAAUAGUGGCGACCAUUGUGCUCGCUCGCGGCAAUUCAAUCCGAUUGAAUGAAGAAGGAAAAGUAAGCUACAAUGAAAAGUUCAUUUGUUUCUGAUUGUCACCAGUGAAAAGUCAAACAGAGGAGCUAAAGAGAAUGAUUCAAUGUUCUUCUCAUAGCCUCUGGCCUACAAUAAUUAAAGCUAAGCAAAAGCUCACAAAAGGAAAGUCAAAGAGCAAAAGCUCUCCAAAAGAUAGUGCUCAUUCUCUGCCCCUAAUUUCUGUCUAAGUCCUACUACCCUCUUCCUGUGCGGUGGCUCCCCAGCGAGAAUAGAAGACCUCAGCCGUCCUCGCCUUUACAGCAAUUACCAAAAAUGGGCAUAAGCUUUCCUUUUCCAAAAAUGUCCCCUGGGAUAAUCUCUGUUGCUUGGGCUUCUUUCUUGUCAAAUUGGCACUUGUUAUCAUAUUUUCGUUCUACUCCCUGAAAUAAAUGCAAAAUAUUAAAAGUGAGUAGAAUUUAAUAAUUAAUCCACAGCAAAUCAGGUAAUAAGGAAAAUUAAUAAUAAAAUAAAUGAUUAAAUUGCAUCCUAUCAAUUCCCCCCACACCUAAACUAUGCUUGUCCCCAAAUAUAAGAACAGUAAACAAACAACAAUAUUUGACAAUGGCAGUUGCUCUAUCUACCAUAUUGCCAAGAUACCAAGAGAAACCCAUAUAUCAAGUAUCAGUGAUCAAAAUUCGAGAAACAUCACUCCGGUUAGCUUCUAAACCACAAACUCAUUCAAUUCCAACUUAACUAAUUUAAGAAAAAGGAAUGGAGCACAACAUUUAUCAGCAAAUGGUCCAAAUAUUAACCAAAAUCUCCACAUUAAAUCCAUAAAUUGGCAAACUGACUUUUAUCACAUACUAACACAACCUACACUUUUUUUUUCCACGUUUUCUAUAUUUUUUUUCUUUUUUUUUAGAUAGCACAAAAAACUUAGUCUCUAACCAUUGGAGCCUUUUGAUGCGAAUUCUAACAUUUUCAGAUGAAGGAGCCUAUUACUCAGUUCCUAUCGCUAUACGACUACAUACUCAUAGAAAUUACUACUUUUUGAUGCGAGAAUCGAUACUUUUGGUGAAGAUCCCCGGUUACUCAGUAGUAACAACUAGCGGAGUACAAUCAACUCUUAUUUAUAGCCACAUGGAACAAUAACGCAAAAUAACACUGCUAAAAAUAAAAAUAGGAGCAGCUAGCCUCAUUAUUGCCAAACAUGAAGAAUUAGAGCCAAUAUUGGACCAAUUCACAUGAAAAUGCCAACAGUCAUUCCCUUUACCUAGAAAAGUUAACAAAGAAAUCAAGAGAGUCAAGCAGUCAUCGAUAUUCACCAAAGAGACAUUUUGAACUCAACCGCAUUAACUCGAUACACUUUUAUUAUUAAAACUCGGCAAGAGUAGAUUUAGAGUCAACAAUCCAACAUCAAACUUUGACAUUCACAUGAGAGCUCAUAACUACAAAGAAAGAAAAUGGCUGAAUGAAAAAAAACAAAUAACAAACUAAAAAUAAAGGAAAAACGACUAAAAACUAAAAAUUAGAAAAAUUGGCACCCCAACUAAACCCCCCCACACCUAAACGGUACAUUACCCUCAAUAUAGCAAAUAAACAUCAAAAGUAUGAGAGAGGGUAACAAAACUUCCCUGAAGUAGGGUCAAAGUGGUGGGCGAUACCCAAAUUGCGAUGUAUGACCCGCAUGCUGCAUGAAUGCUGCUAAAUUCUGUGCCAUGUAAUGCACGUUGUGAUCAAUAUUGAUCAUUCGAGCCUCCAGAUUCUGAACUUGAAUCCGAAGUUGAUUCCAUUCAGCAGCUCCUGGGGGUGGUGGGGGCAGAGCGGAGGUAGACGAGCCUGCAUCAUCGCCAGCAGGGGCCGAAUUGGUAAAAGAAGAGUGAGGUGAGGCGCUGGGCGGUCCCGAGGGAGUAAAUCGGUAGGCACCAUUGACAUGCUCCAGAACUCCCAUCCUCUCUAAGCGUUCAACAUUCACAAAUUCCAUGUCGCAGGCCAAAUGAAGGUCGUGAUCCUGUAGAAUGAGAACUCCUAGCUGGACUGCCAGGCGGGUGAUGUAGGACUCGAGGAUCAGGGGUAUGUUCUUCUUUGCCAAAACGGUCUUGAACUGUGCAGUCAACCAACACCCCAAAUUGACUUUGAAACCGGUUUUCAUGCACCAGAGAAAGAAGAGCUUCGGUCGAGAGAUUAUACUGGAGCUAUCCUUUCUACCCGAGUAACUGUAUGCUAAGAGUCGUUGAACAUACCGAACACUCGGGUCCUCGAGAAAAGAGCUCCUAGAUCUAGACGGGUCAUACCGCUGCCUGUCGACGAAUAUGUCCCACCACACAUCAUGGUAGGGGGAAAGAAAUGGCUCUACAUAAUCACAGGCACUCUCGGCAUAUUCCCUAGUCACCGCAUACUCCCGAGUGAUAAAACCGAAUGCCAAAUUAAACUGGGUAAUAGAGAAAUUGAAUUCCUUACCCAUGAGACGGAAACGAAUGACAUUGGGAGUCUCAACAGUAUACCUCGUAGGUAAUUCAAACUCAAAGAUGGAAUAAAACUCCCUAGUCAACUCAACAAAGGCGGGUUGGAAAACAGCGAGAUAGGGGCGCCAUCCAAUGGCGGUGUACAUGCGCUCAACCUCCUCCUGGAUACCCAAAAAAAGCCAUAGUCAACUCGUCCGAGCACUUGAACGGAAUGAUACGCCGCUCACAGGCUUUAGCAUAGCGCCGCUCACAGGCCACGUGGGCACCCCUACCCCUGCCUAACCGGGUUCGGACACCGGAAACGGAAGGUUGGUUGAUAAGGGUAUUGACUGGAAUGGAGGGUUGGGGUGGUAGCUGAGACUAAGAGGUUCUAGACCUAGAAGAGGAUUUGGGUCGCACCAUAGCUCCUAACUGUCAACUCAAUCAACCAGAGAUAGAAGCGCCAACAAUAGUCUCAGUAAAUGCAAUUAGCAAAAGAAACUCAGCAAAAGCAAAGCAACAGUCUCCAAGUAGCAACCCAAUCAAUAGCCAAUAGAAGAAUUCCAGCAAGCGCCCCCAGUCCACUGGGGUCAAUAACCAACACAAGAAACAAAGAAGUCCGAAAACGGGGCGACGACUUGCACAAUGGAUUAGACCAAAAUCACAUACAAUGUCCCUCCGAAUCAGCAAUUUAAGUCGUCAGCUAGAAUGUCCCCAACAAUGCAAUUAAAUAUGACAAACCUCACAAAGUAAAUCAAGCGGCACAGGGUUCCUAAGUCAACAGGCAACAACAGCUCCCAAAUUUAACAAUAAAAAACAAACAAGGUUCAACCAGAAUCCCAACAGAUAGUCCCAAUUGGACAGUUAAUCGCACAAUUUCAACCAACCCAAAAGAAGCAUCAAAUUUAAGUGAAAAUACUCCAACCAGUACCACUGGAGGAAAUCACACAAUUGAGGAAAUAACCUCUAAUAGUCAACAACACCAACUAUUGAGCAAUCUAGGCAGCACCAAUCAAUAUUAAGAAAUUGAGGGACAACUUCCAAAUACCUCCACUGUAGAGGGUAGCCAAACGAAAUGGGACAGUAGCGGGUGUCAGUUAGGCCGGAGUCGCAUGAGGGGUUGCGGUGGUGUCAAUGAAGACAGCGGUGGUCAAAGGUGGAGUAGGAGCGAGCGACGCACAGCGAAGUGGUGGCACGCGAGCGCAAAUCAGUGGCUAGCGUCGGCGUCGCUUGAAGGGUCGGACGAUGGUGGGCUUAGUCGCGCGGUGAGAUGGGGAGCUGAGAGGGCUCUUGGUGGCGUGCGAUGAGGUUGGGGAACGGAGGGGGUUGGCGGCGUUGGUCGCUCGGCCGUGGCAGUCGCGAGAGCUGGUGAGAGAGGCGCGGCGCUGACGGCAGAGGAGAUGGGUGACGCGCCGAGUGGGUCGAGCAGAGAGAGACCGGUACAGAGACUGCGAUGGUGAGAGAGCUGGUGGCCUGCGGCUUGUGGCUUUGUGGCCGAGAGGGACGGCGGCAGUCCUCUGCUUGGGCGCGAGAUGCGGCGUGUGGAGGCGCAAGGAGGGAGAAGAGGUGGCGCCCGCAGAUCGGAGCUCUGGCGUGCGGCUAUGCUGGUGCGGGCAAGCUAGCGGCACGCUGGCUGGAGUGGAAACUUUCGGAGAUGGAGGGAGAUAGCGGCGUUGUGAGGUCUUCGGGUGACACAGAGGAGAAUAGGGGAAAAGAAAGAAAGAAGAAAGCGAGGAAAAGAGAGAAAAGAAAGAAAGAGAAGGA